UACGAAGGGGGCGAGCGUUGUUCGGAUUUACUGGGCGUAAAGGGCGCGCAGGCGGCUUAUUUUGUCAGGCGUGAAAGCCCCGGGCUUAACCUGGGAACUGCGUUUGAUACGGAUGGGCUAGAGUUCGGGAGAGGAGAGUGGAAUUCCCAGUGUAGAGGUGGAAUUCGUAGAUAUUCGGAAGAACAUCAGUGGCGAAGGCGACUCACUGGCCCGAUACUGACGCUGAGGCGCGAAAGCGUGGGGAGCAAACAGG
rnacentral:rRNA from 1 species